UUAAGCGACUAAGCGUACACGGUGGAUGCCCUGGCAGUCAGAGGCGAUGAAGGGCGUGCUAAUCUGCGAUAAGCGCCGGUAAGGUGAUAUGAACCGUUAUAACCGGCGAUACCCGAAUGGGGAAACCCAGUGUGAUUCGUCACACUAUCAUUAACUGAAUCCAUAGGUUAAUGAGGCGAACCGGGGGAACUGAAACAUCUAAGUACCCCGAGGAAAAGAAAUCAACCGAGAUUCCCCCAGUAGCGGCGAGCGAACGGGGAGGAGCCCAGAGCCUGAAUCAGCAUGUGUGUUAGUGGAAGCGUCUGGAAAGGCGCGCGAUACAGGGUGACAGCCCCGUACACAAAAGCGCAUGUGCUGUGAGCUCGAUGAGUAGGGCGGGACACGUGGUAUCCUGUCUGAAUAUGGGGGGACCAUCCUCCAAGGCUAAAUACUCCUGACUGACCGAUAGUGAACCAGUACCGUGAGGGAAAGGCGAAAAGAACCCCGGCGAGGGGAGUGAAAAAGAACCUGAAACCGUGUACGUACAAGCAGUGGGAGCCCCACCACUAAGCCAGUGGUGAACUCCACAUACGCAUCCUUUGCUGAGGAUACGGUUAACGGAGCGAAAGCGACGUUCAACCUCAAAAGAAGCAGAGGGGGCUUAGUGGUGGGGUGACUGCGUACCUUUUGUAUAAUGGGUCAGCGACUUAUAUUCUGUAGCAAGGUUAACCGAAUAGGGGAGCCGGAGGGAAACCGAGUCUUAAUUGGGCGUUAAGUUGCAGGGUAUAGACCCGAAACCCGGUGAUCUAGCCAUGGGCAGGUUGAAGGUUGGGUAACACUAACUGGAGGACCGAACCGACUAAUGUUGAAAAAUUAGCGGAUGACCUGUGGCUGGGGGUGAAAGGCCAAUCAAACCGGGAGAUAGCUGGUUCUCCCCGAAAGCUAUUUAGGUAGCGCCUCGUGAAUUCAUCUCCGGGGGUAGAGCACUGUUUCGGCUAGGGGGCCAUCCCGGCUUACCAACCCGAUGCAAACUGCGAAUACCGGAGAAUGUUAUCACGGGAGACACACGGCGGGUGCUAACGUCCGUCGUGAAGAGGGAAACAACCCAGACCGCCAGCUAAGGUCCCAAAGUCAUGGUUAAGUGGGAAACGAUGUGGGAAGGCCCAGACAGCCAGGAUGUUGGCUUAGAAGCAGCCAUCAUUUAAAGAAAGCGUAAUAGCUCACUGGUCGAGUCGGCCUGCGCGGAAGAUGUAACGGGGCUAAACCAUGCACCGAAGCUGCGGCAGCGAACGUAUCACCCAAGACAACUUUACGGAGUUGACGAUUGACGGAGCGAAGCGACGUCAAAGCGUUCAUUAAAGUCGAGUUGGCUUAGGGAUACGUUCGUUGGGUAGGGGAGCGUUCUGUAAGCCUGUGAAGGUGGCCUGUGAGGGUUGCUGGAGGUAUCAGAAGUGCGAAUGCUGACAUAAGUAACGAUAAAGCGGGUGAAAAGCCCGCUCGCCGGAAGACCAAGGGUUCCUGUCCAACGUUAAUCGGGGCAGGGUGAGUCGACCCCUAAGGCGAGGCCGAAAGGCGUAGUCGAUGGGAAACGGGUUAAUAUUCCCGUACUUGGUGUUACUGCGAAGGGGGGACGGAGAAGGCUAUGUUGGCCGGGCGACGGUUGUCCCGGUUUAAGCGUGUAGGUGUGUGUUCCAGGUAAAUCCGGUUCACUUUAACACUGAGGCGUGAUGACGAGGCACUACGGUGCUGAAGCAACAAAUGCCCUGCUUCCAGGAAAAGCCUCUAAGCAUCAGGUAACAUCAAAUCGUACCCCAAACCGACACAGGUGGUCAGGUAGAGAAUACCAAGGCGCUUGAGAGAACUCGGGUGAAGGAACUAGGCAAAAUGGUGCCGUAACUUCGGGAGAAGGCACGCUGACACGUAGGUGAAGUGAUUUACUCAUGGAGCUGAAGUCAGUCGAAGAUACCAGCUGGCUGCAACUGUUUAUUAAAAACACAGCACUGUGCAAACACGAAAGUGGACGUAUACGGUGUGACGCCUGCCCGGUGCCGGAAGGUUAAUUGAUGGGGUCAGCGCAAGCGAAGCUCCUGAUCGAAGCCCCGGUAAACGGCGGCCGUAACUAUAACGGUCCUAAGGUAGCGAAAUUCCUUGUCGGGUAAGUUCCGACCUGCACGAAUGGCGUAAUGAUGGCCAGGCUGUCUCCACCCGAGACUCAGUGAAAUUGAACUCGCUGUGAAGAUGCAGUGUACCCGCGGCAAGACGGAAAGACCCCGUGAACCUUUUACUAUAGCUUGACACUGAACAUUGAGCCUUGAUGUGUAGGAUAGGUGGGAGGCUUUGAAGUGUGGACGCCAGUCUGCAUGGAGCCGACCUUGAAAUACCACCCUUUAAUGUUUGAUGUUCUAACGUGGACCCGUAAUCCGGGUUGCGGACAGUGUCUGGUGGGUAGUUUGACUGGGGCGGUCUCCUCCUAAAGAGUAACGGAGGAGCACGAAGGUUGGCUAAUCCUGGUCGGACAUCAGGAGGUUAGUGCAAUGGCAUAAGCCAGCUUGACUGCGAGCGUGACGGCGCGAGCAGGUGCGAAAGCAGGUCAUAGUGAUCCGGUGGUUCUGAAUGGAAGGGCCAUCGCUCAACGGAUAAAAGGUACUCCGGGGAUAACAGGCUGAUACCGCCCAAGAGUUCAUAUCGACGGCGGUGUUUGGCACCUCGAUGUCGGCUCAUCACAUCCUGGGGCUGAAGUAGGUCCCAAGGGUAUGGCUGUUCGCCAUUUAAAGUGGUACGCGAGCUGGGUUUAGAACGUCGUGAGACAGUUCGGUCCCUAUCUGCCGUGGGCGCUGGAGAACUGAGGGGGGCUGCUCCUAGUACGAGAGGACCGGAGUGGACGCAUCACUGGUGUUCGGGUUGUCAUGCCAAUGGCACUGCCCGGUAGCUAAAUGCGGAAGAGAUAAGUGCUGAAAGCAUCUAAGCACGAAACUUGCCCCGAGAUGAGUUCUCCCUGAGACUUAGAGUCUCCUGAAGGAACGUUGAAGACGACGACGUUGAUAGGCCGGGUGUGUAAGCGCAGCGAUGCGUUGAGCUAACCGGUACUAAUGAACCGUGAGGCUUAACCUU
rnacentral:rRNA from 1 species